GUGCAAACAUGGAAAAGGGGAAAGCCUUACAUUUGACCCCUGUAAGUUUGCAAAAACCCAUAAAACCUGUACAUUGGGGGCACUGUUGUAAUCGGAAAAUUUUGCUGAACACAUAUUGGGGUGUUCUUUGUCAAUAUCACAUAACAGGAACUGAGAAUUCAUGCCUAAAGUACAACGUGAGAGAAAAAAAAACACAAAAAAAUUACUAUUCAAAGGUUUGACAAAGACUGGUGGUAGAAUUAGUGUAUGCAAAGUGUUAAAAUACUACCAUUUGAAAUACCCUAGGGUGUCUACUUUUUAAAAAUAUAUGGUUU